AUCAGACUUGUUGAAUAAAGAGAUUUAACCAGACUAACUGUAUAAGGACUGAUUAAACUUUCUUUACCUUUUUUGCAGUACAACAUCAUCGAGGUUGAGGAUCCCAACAACAACCGGAUUGGACAGUGGCUGAAUGAAACAUCCAGUGGUAAAAUAUUGCAGCUUUCUUACUCAUUGAGCUCUGAGGCCCGUGAAGGAACCUACCAAAUCAGUGCGUCAGCUGGUGAAGACAAAAUAAUUCAGAGUUUCAAGGUGGAGAGAUAUGUUCUGCCUAAAUUUGAGGUAAC